rnacentral:rRNA from 1 species
AACGAACGCUGGCGGCAGGCUUAACACAUGCAAGUCGAGCGCCCCGCAAGGGGAGCGGCAGACGGGUGAGUAACGCGUGGGAAUCUACCCAUCUCUACGGAAUAACGCAUGGAAACGUGUGCUAAUACCGUAUACGUCCUUCGGGAGAAAGAUUUAUCGGAGAUGGGUGAGCCCGCGUUGGAUUAGCUAGUUGGUGGGGUAAAGGCCUACCAAGGCGACGAUCCAUAGCUGGUCUGAGAGGAUGAUCGGCCACACUGGGACUGAGACACGGCCCAGACUCCUACGGGAGGCAGCAGUGGGGAAUAUUGGACAAUGGGCGCAAGCCUGAUCCAGCCAUGCCGCGUGAGUGAUGAAGGCCCUAGGGUUGUAAAGCUCUUUCACCGGUGAAGAUAAUGACGGUAACCGGAGAAGAAGCCCCGGCUAACUUCGUGCCAGCCGCCGCCGUAAUAC